rnacentral:rRNA from 1 species
CAUCGAUGAAGAACGUAGCGAAUUACGAUAUGUAAUGUGAAUUGCAGAAUUCAGUGAAUCAUCGAAUCUUUGAACGCACCUUGCGCUCUUUGGUAUUCCGAAGAGCAUGCCUGUUUGAGUGUCAU